rnacentral:rRNA from 1 species
UACAGAGGUCUCAAGCGUUGUUCGGAUUCAUUGGGCGUAAAGGGUGCGUAGGUGGCGCUGUAAGUCGGGUGUGAAAUCCCUCGGCUCAACCGGGGAACUGCGUCCGAUACUGGUGGGCUCGAAUCCGGGAGAGGGAUGUGGAAUUCCAGGUGUAGCGGUGAAAUGCGUAGAUAUCGAGAGGAACACCAGUGGCGAAGGCGAGUCUCUGGACACUUCCUGACGCUGAGGCACGAAAGCCAGGGGAGCAAACGGG